rnacentral:rRNA from 1 species
UGCAAGUCGAACGAACUCUUCGGAGUUAGUGGCGGACGGGUGAGUAACACGUGGGAACGUGCCUUUAGGUUCGGAAUAACUCAGGGAAACUUGUGCUAAUACCGAAUGUGCCCUUCGGGGGAAAGAUUUAUCGCCUUUAGAGCGGCCCGCGUCUGAUUAGCUAGUUGGUGAGGUAAAGGCUCACCAAGGCGACGAUCAGUAGCUGGUCUGAGAGGAUGAUCAGCCACAUUGGGACUGAGACACGGCCCAAACUCCUACGGGAGGCAGCAGUGGGGAAUCUUGCGUAAUGGGCGAAAGCCUGACGCAGCCAUGCCGCGUGAAUGAUGAGGGUCUUAGGAUUGUAAAAUUCUUUCACCGGGGACGAUAAUGACGGUACCCGGAGAAGAAGCCCCGGCUAACUUCGUGCCAGCAGCCGCGGUAAUACGAAGGGGGCUAGCGUUGCUCGGAAUUACUGGGCGUAAAGGGAGCGUAGGCGGACAUUUAAGUCAGGGGUGAAAUCCCGGGGCUCAACCUCGGAAUUGCCUUUGAUACUGGGUGUCUUGAGUAUGAGAGAGGUGUGUGGAACUCCGAGUGUAGAGGUGAAAUUCGUAGAUAUUCGGAAGAACACCAGUGGCGAAGGCGACACACUGGCUCAUUACUGACGCUGAGGCUCGAAAGCGUGGGGAGCAAACAGGAUUAGAUACCCUGGUAGAAGGGC